GACGAACGCUGGCGGCGUGCCUAAUACAUGCGAGUAGAACGCUGAAGGAGGAGCUUGCUUCUCCGGAUGAGUUGCGAACGGGUGAGUAACGCGUAGGUAACCUGCCUGGUAGCGGGGGAUAACUAUUGGAAACGAUAGCUAAUACCGCAUAACAGUAGAUGUUGCAUGACAUUUGCUUAAAAGGUGCAAUUGCAUCACUACCAGAUGGACCUGCGUUGUAUUAGCUAGUUGGUGAGGUAACGGCUCACCAAGGCGACGAUACAUAGCCGACCUGAGAGGGGGAUCGGCCACACUGGGACUGAGACACGGCCCAGACUCCUACGGGAGGCAGCAGGAGGGAAUCUUCGGCAAUGGACGGAAGUCUGACCGAGCAACGCCGCGGGAGUGAAGAAGGGUUUCGGAUCGUAAAGCUCUGUUGUAAGAGAAGAACGAGUGUGAGAGUGGAAAGUUCACACUGUGACGGUAUCUUACCAGAAAGGGACGGCUAACUACGUG
rnacentral:rRNA from 1 species